rnacentral:tRNA from 1 species
AAGGGUAUAGCUCAGUAGUAGGGUACCAUGCUUAGCAUGCACGAGGUCCUGGGUUCAAUCCCCAGUGCCUCCA